rnacentral:lncRNA from 1 species
AUGCAAGAGGCACAUCUUGCCAUCUUCCUCAGAUCAAGUUGCAUCAGAUGAUUCCUUUGACUUGUCAGUCACCACCUCCUUAUCAGACUUGCUAGUCUCUUCACUUUGAGCAUGACUUGAGUGUGUAUGUUCCGACUUGCCCAACUCUCCUGUCUCAGAAUGGGUUGGUUUUGUCAAAUCUGAAUUAUGAAAGUCGGAAGCUAAUCCUAGCACCACUAGUACAGACCUGACAGCAAUUCAAUUCCCUAGUCAGAAUAAGUACAAAUGUAAUUUAUAAGUACGACAGAGGUAACUUGUGUGAACCUUGGGAGUGAUGAUUUAAUAUGUGGUUGGCUAGCAUGUGCAAUCAAGGGAUCCCUUAGAGCUGGCGUUCUAUGUAAUGCAUUUUCCAGGUGUGCUGGUGGAAGCUGAAAAAGCGAAAGCAUCUAACAUCACAUUCAGAGCCCAGAGUAUGACAAGAAUUGAUAAAAUCACUGCAGUCAACUACAAAUAUUGGACCAAACUAAUCAAUAUGGCAAUUCAAGUAUUACUAAAUAACCAUAAAGGUCAGUCUCAGCAUAAUCGUCAAGACUUCAAGAGUCUACAACAUUUUAAAGAUAUGAAGAAAAUACAGAUAAUUGAAGCCAAGGAAGAACCAUAUCUCAGUGGAGAGCUCUAUUACAUAUACUGUCUUCUCAAAAUUUUUUCCUUUUAGCGAAUAUCUGCUUCAAAAGCAGGGGGAGGAAAAAAUCAAGCAUAUGGCAACUCGAAUUUGUAAACAAUCAUUUUUCAGCUGUUGAUAACUAUUCUUCUUCCAAUUUUGUAUUCUACAACAGAUGGCUUGUUAGCAAAAAAAAGUUCAAAUUGAUAGCCUGACAAGCAACCUGCUCAGCUGAAGAAUGCAGAGUCAAAUACAUGAUGUAGCACAAGAUUUAGAACCCACCACGCCCCCCCCCCCCCCCCCAAAAAAAAAAAAAGAAUAAUACAACUGAACAGAAUCAAUUCUGAAUUGGCAAAACUCUUCUUAUUACAGUCACUUCCAGAUCAUUCAUCAUUGAAUGUCAAUGUCAGCCACAUCCAUAUCUUUUAUAUAUCUAGACCAGCUCAGGAAGUUUAUAAGAUAAAGUUUGUGCAAGUAUAUCAGAGGAUGAUGAGGAAUGGCAGACCAUCAGCAGGUAAUUCACAAACAAAAUACCUGUAUCUGCUAAUUAUAAAACACAUAGAUUUAUCAAUUGGUUUAGCACUGCAAGAUCAAAAUAAUUAUCAUAACCCCCAAACACACACUAAUUAGUCACACAGACAAAAAAAAAAAAAGCAAAGUAGAAAUUUACUAGUUGAAAGAAAGUAUAGUUUAGUGAGCUACAUGAAUCAUGAACUUAAUGUUUUGCUACACAUAACAGUACCUGAAGCAAGACACCAAAAGAUUCUGGCUUUGUCAAAAAAGCACACUUAAUGAAUCCGACCCAUAGCUUUGGAUACUUCCAUAUCUGCUAGAAAACAGGAAAAUAAGUUCUCAGAAAGAAUGACAUGCAACAACUCCAUGAUCAAUUUUUUACCUGCUUCUGUACAAGGCGAGAAAGGAUUUCCAUUAUAUAGUCCACCUGAAACACAAUUAGGGUCAGGAAGCCACCAAUGAGAUUAUGAGAUACUUGACGAAAGAUGGAACUUAUCAUACAUUAGCCAUGACUUUGGAUCAUAUCCUAUAAUAGAUUCUAGCUAGAGUCACAAAAUCACAGCAAUAAUCCUUUAGGUAAAAUAUCGUAGUUGGAACCAUAGAAGAUCUCAGUUUUUAGCUAUUAUAGUCGGACACAUAGAAGAUCCCUCGGUAGAACUGGCCAGAACAGCACUGGACAUGAUCUACAUUUACAAAGAUAAUCAGCACAGCGUAUCCACCACUUUUCCCAACAUCAAUCUCAUUGAGUUGUCUGACAAUUACAAACCACUCUUAAAAAUCAAUGCAUGGUUUCCAAAUAAACAUACAAUGCCUCAAGUUCAAAGGAUAUAAACACAAUGUAUUUGCUCAUUCUUGUGGGCAAAAUGCUUAAAACUAUCAUGCUUUUUGAAUAUUUGUGGGCUAUCAAACUUGAAUAUUAAUAAAAACCAAUCUUUGUAAUUGAAUAUAGUGUAAAAGACCCCGCAUGAAAUCAACUCCUAAGCCUUGGCUACUCAAAAGGGACUAUCAUACACAAGUUAAUUCAGCUGCAGAUCAGCAGGCAGAGUAUAUGAUACAGAAAAUACUUUUCUGCAACAGUUUAAUCACUAAAAAACAUCUUACCAGUGAUGGAAAAGCACCAAUUGCCUGCAGCACUGUGCGCAUAAAUAAUAGGGGAAGGGGAGUCUGCUCAACCUGCAGCAGUAUCAAGUGAGGAAUGAAGUCACGUAGUUUGGAGGUUAAGAAAAAAGGAGUGGAGUUAGGAGUUCUGCAUACCAAUUGAUUCAAGACCUUUGCAAGAACUUGCUGAGUGAAGAUCUGUCGCUGCCCAAAACAAGUAUUACAUGCUUCCGUAACCUGUUCUUAGAAAGAUGUUCUUCAGUAAGCAACUUUAUUCGGAUAGGCUAGGGCAGUAUUGGAAAAUGUCCUUUUUUUGAGAUUUGAAGGUAUGAAGAACAGAGGUAAAGCUUGUAAAAUAAUAGACAAAGAUAGGAAUCUCCCUUACAUAGAUAAACAGCAUACCCUGACUAGCAAAAUAAUACAGGAUUGAGGAAGAGGAUAGAAAAAUAGAAUAGUUCUUUUUUUCUUUUUGGUUGGAAGAAAAAUACUGAUAUUUACUGUCAAAGAAAGUGCAAUUUGCAGGUAAGAAGUUUCCACUUUUAAGGCAGUGUUUGUAUUUUGUGGGAAAGGUUACCCUAUAUGGAAUAGCGUAUAUGGUAAUAGUACAACAAAUAACAAAAAGAGCUUAUAUAGGAAUUAAAAGAAAAAGCUACCAUAACUCAGAACAGAAAGGCAUUUUAGGAUUAUUCAACAGAUAAGUGCAACAGUAUAUCAACCGAAUGUGUGCAUUGGAUGUGCAAAAGAUGAAUUUACCACUAAAUACUAUGCUAUAACAUCCAAGAGACACCAUGGAUAUUUGAUGUUACUUUAGGCUUGUUUUAAAUGGUCCAGGGAAUUAGUUGUGUGAUGUUCUUGCAGACUGAAACUCAGCCUAAUAUCAUGUGACUAAUGUGCUGCUAUUUUCAGAUAGGGUGGGUCUCAGAGAUUUUCUAUGAUGCCCUUAACCAGAACAAAAAUGACAAAAAGACCACAACAGCAUGACUAAGCAUCUAAACACAUGGUAGAACAAAAUAUGAUUCACAUAUGGGGUCCUAAAGCCAAGGUGAUGAACUGAUGCUGCCAGGAACUGUAUUGUAAAUCAUGCAAGAAAAGUAUAAGCUUCCACACCUUCUUCAAAGGGAUCCCAUCUCUUUCUGGAUCAAUUCCAUGGAUUGCAAUCAAAGCUUCAGCUGGAGUUAUUGCCGGACAGAAACUAGAAGACCCCUGUUCAAAUUGUUGCUGUCAAAAUCAUUACAUAAUGGUGGCAUAGUAAAAUUAACAGCCAUAUGGAAGAAACAACCAAUUCAAAAAUCACCCAAAAAGGUACUAAGACAAGGGUCAGAUAGUAAAUUCUAGGUUAAAUCCAAGAUACAGCCAAGAGAAAUGAUCCAAAAUGUAACACAUCCAGGGUAUAAAUAUGAAAAAGUCUCCAACAUAUUUAUUAAAGGAAGGUUCACACUUGCACGACCAGAUUCUGAGGAUAAAGAUAAGAAAACUGUAAAUAUCAUGUGUUAAAAAAAGGAGUCUUUCGUACACUAACAACGUACACACUAGCAAACCUGGAUGUAUACACUAUCAGAGUAGGAAAGUAGUUAUCGCAAAAAAAUCCCUAAACUAAUUAGAUUAUCUAGAAAAGGUUCAAUGCAUUUAGAUGAUUACUAAACCAGCUCAUAAUGUUAUGACUUCUUGAAUGAACAAAGACAGAAUAUCUAAGAAAUUAAAACUCAAAAAAAAAAAGUGCCAACCACUACUAAUCAUGAUUGCUAACGGAAAAUUAAGGCUUUGUUUGGAUUGCAUUUUUUUGGAUUUUUUGUAGAAAAAUGACACUAGCAAUUUGAUAUGUGAGGUAAAAAGAUGAUUGGGAAAUAUGUUCACGGAAAACGUGGCAAUUUUUCUUUGGAAAAUUGCUGUCCAAACAAGGCCUAAGUGUCAUGAAAAGCUUCAAUUUAAUAAUUGCUCAAGGGCGAGUUUGACUUGAAGAAACAUUACAUACCUGCGCACAAGCACUUUUUUCUCUCCUUUUCUUUCAGAAAGCUACCCAUUAAAUGGGUGGUUUAGAAUGAACUCAUACCACUUAUCAAAAAGAUAGAGAUGUACAAGAACAACAUAGAACCAAAACAGCGGAAACAUAACAAAAAAAUCACCAAUACCUGAAGCACACAUGCAAGGGCAAGCUGAAACUUCUCCAAUGGGGAAUUCACGAGAUGUGGAAACAUUGCCAAAACCUUCAAAAUAGAAGAUAACCAGUUAUAGGGAAGCACAAAAGGCAAAAUUCAAGUCACUAGGGAGAAAAUAUAUAUGGUAUUAUCACAAUUUCUAUGUCUCUAUCUAUAACAGCUUGAUGGACACUUUGCAUUGCAUAAGCUAGUAGACCAUAAAACAAAGCCUUCCAUGAAAGUCAUACAUGUUCAUACACUACCCUGAUUCUAAUCUUCUCAAUUCCAGUGUAACUAAGUCAAUUGACCAAACCAAAAAAAAAUUGGAGAGACACAGACGCCCACACAGAGAAUGAAUCUGAUUACUACCAAAUUUAGUCGUGACAUUUUUGACAGGUCAAUAUUAAUAAUUUAAAACAUCUUUAAUAAUUUCCCAAGCAUAUCUUAGAAUAUAGUUGUAUAGCUUAUGAGCAAAUCUUGCAACUUAUUAGAUGAUGGUUUCACAUGAAAAUUUAAUUUUCUUGGUUUCAAUGCAUAUCUUACAUAAAUAUCACAUGUAUGAUACACUACAAAUCAUCUGAAUAAUACAUGACUAAGCUCAAAAUAACACAAAGCUAUUAAUCUCAUACAAAAAAGCCAGACCAAAGUUCAAAUUCUAUCACUAGUGGUGACAGAGAUUUGUCCUGGUGAUUAAUAUAUAUGCCAUGUGGUAGUUAGCUGACAUUUAAAGGUAAAGGAUCUCAUUUGGGUACAUAGACCCAGAUAAAAAUAACUGAUCCCGUGCCUAACUGCAAGAUCUGUAAAAAGAAAGCAUGUUAAAAUACUCGAAUUACUUAAAGUUAUUCAAGUAGGCAAUUCCAAAGGGCCAUAAAUAAAAGUAAACUCUGCAUAAAUAUGAAAUGGAAGAAAAAGAAAUCAGAAUGUAAAGAAGAAAAUUAAGACCUCAUCUUUUGGCAAAAAUGGCAGUAUGAGAAUUAGAAUCUCUACAUCCUGUAUAAAGAUAGGAAAAAUCAGCAAAGUGACAGAGUGAAGGCAAAAAUCACUUAUCUAAAAAGGGCAUCUCAACAGAGAAGGAUAAAGCACUAAAUGUACUUAUAAAGUUUAUAGUAUGCAAUCACCAGUGAAUUAACACAUUUAAAAUGUGGGAAAUGCUACCAUGCCAUUAGUGUGCACACGUCCCUCUUUAACAAAGCAGAAUUGCAAAUGUAAAGGACAAGGAUUGAGCUAUUUCUCUGUAUAUACUCAAAGAAUUCCAACUUUUGACCAACCCUAUCACCCAACUCCCCCACCUUAGAAGAAAAAGAAGAAAUAAAUAAAACAGCAACAAGAAGAAUUCAGAUUAGAACUAGGAAAAGAGCUAAAUUCUACACCUUUACUUUAGUAUCAUACAACUUCUUAAUGGUAGAUAACAAUUCCGGGGAAGGCGUUGUCCCAUCUAUCAAUGUGUGUAAAACCUGGAAGAUCAUCAAGACUGAGCCGUACUUUAUAAAAAUUAUUACUCAGUACUCUAUAAUAAAGAAUAUUCACAAAUCUAAAAACCUGCAUCACAAGCUCCAUGCUUCCAGUUGGUAGAUCAGAUAAGAUUUGAAGAAGCUCAGGCGACGGGCCAAUUGCUCGAACAAGCUUUGGGAUGUGGUGUAAUACUGCCUGUAACACACAAUUGGGUCAGAACAUCUAAAUAAAUUUGUUAAAAAGAACACAAAAUGCCUAAUUAUAAUAUAUUAGUUUGAGAUUGUACAAAACCUGCUUUACAGCCUUGGAUGUAUUCUCAUAAAUAACAAAUAUUUGGCGAAAGAGGGAGUGAUUCUGUGCAUCAAAAUUGAAUACGUACAAUGAGUGUAAGAAGAGACGUAUAACAAUCUAUAAUAUACUCACAUAGAGUUCAUUUCUGUGGCGCAAUUUUUGAAACGAAACUAAGUUUACACCUUUGUACAAAUUGCAAAAUACAGAGCCAUGCGUCGCUGCCCCUCAGCUAGUAAGGAGGACGAUAUACUUUCAGAUAUUGACAAUGAAUCGGUGACUGCUGAUAACCCUUUGGAAGAGGUACCAACAACGGGAAGUUCAUUUGAUGGUUUUCCCAUAUCAGAAUCCUGAAUAAAAAUGGUUUCUAUACAUCAUCAAAUUACUGCAACACAAGCAAGCUAUUUAAUCAUUAAUUCAAAAUUUGCAGAAUUAGAUAAUUGUUCAACAAAAAUGCAAUGCAAGUCAAACAAAAUAGCCGCAUUUAAAUCGUGAAAUCACUUUUCCAUUUUCAAAAGCAAGACCUUAAAUUCAGCAUUAGCUCCAUCAGCAUCACAUGACUCCAAUGCAGUAUUGGCAUUUGCAGCUGAUACCAACACCUCCCAGGCAAAAGCUUCUAUUUGCCGUGACAUUGAAGGCAGAGGAUAAAGCUUGUUCACCACCUGUAAACAUAGAAGCAAUAUAAACGAACAUAAUAUGCAACAAAUAUAAAUUCAAUUCAAAGUGACUUGAGCAAAGCAUACCAGACGUAAGGCCUUAUCUCGCACUUCUUCAACCGGAUGAAUUGCACUCUAUCAGAAAUCAAAAUAAAAUCCAAGUCAGAACUGAAGAACUUAAGGAUAGUUAGUCGCCUCCUAAAUAAAAUAACCUGAAUACCGUUUGGGUUUCAUGAGAAGCUCUUCAGCUUGAAAUAAAGGACUAUUUCUAAAGGAUGUGCACAAUAGCUUCAUAAACCCAAUACCCUAAACUCAGCAACUUCACUAUCAAGCAAAUUCAAGUGAAUGAGAAGACAAGCACAAGUAGAACAUACAACUGCCCCCUCAAUCAAUAAAUUUAAAGAGAACUUUUAAAAAGAGUUAUCACUCUCCAAUCCUACACCACAUACACAUAUUUAGUAAGAAAUUUUAACUUCUAAUUAACCAACACCUUCUCUUCUUUAUAACACCACCUCUGCUUUUCAACAAAAGAAAGGGGAGAAAAGGAACAAAAUAAGUACAUAACAAAGCAUGAGAGAGAUAACUGUGUGGUUAGCUUUAUUAAGCCAUGGAUCCUUAGCCAAUAGAUGUCCUCUUAUUAUACUUGAGCACAGCUUUGUCCAAUAUUCUUCUUUGAGAUAAUGAGCUGUUCUAUCAAUUAUACCAUAAUUACAAACAUAUUUCAACAUUUUCCAUUAUAAAAAAGCAAAGAAGGUUAAAAUAUGUCAUUUACAAGCCAAAAGCCCAUGACAAAAGAGCUGCAUAUAUACAAGUCAUAAAUCUUUUCAUAGAACUUUGAACAAGAUAAAUUAGGAAACCAUUGAAGCAUAUAUUAAAGCAAAACUAAUAAUGUUACAAUAGAAGAGAAAAACCUUCAAAGCAAUUGUUAGGCAGGCAUCUCGAAUAGGAGGCCUCAACAAAAUCAGACUCCAUACAAUACUAAGACCUUGCCGAACUCGUUCCAGAUUGUUGUUAUCUUUGUUACUGCCACCAGGGGAACACAUGCCCUCAAGCAAUUUCAAAAUGGAAUCGGGCAGGUAAGGAACUUCAACAAGCAAUCUAUUUAGACAUUUGUCAGGCCAUGGAAAAGAAUCCCUUAAUGUUUCUGCCUGCAUUUUAGAAGAUAAACAAGAUGGUAUAAAUAGCUACCAUUCACUUAGGCCAAAGAGGUAGAAAAGAUCACAUACCACGGUAAGAAGAAACAUCUCAUAUACAGAUUUAGAAGUGGUUGAGGAAACAAAGUCGUGGUCCUCUUCUGCUUCACCAUAUAACCUGUAGAGGACACGCAAAGUCAACUCGUGCCCCUGACAACUUCCACUGGUUAGCCAUGUUACUAGAAACUUUAAUAUUGCAAAUACAAAAGGCAGACACCAAAAGGUAUGGAAAUAAUUUUUACAGCUAAAAUAUCUGGAAAGGAGGAAAUGGAAAAAUUUAUGACUAUUCUAUGCUAGAGAUCACAUGUAAAUAUGCAUAUAAACAUACUAAAAAAUUUUGAUAAGUUUUCAGAAUAUUAGAACAUUCUAAAAGUUGAGAUAAAGUACAAGCCACAAAGCAAAAUUUGAGUAGACAACCAAACAAAGAAGGCUUAUGAAGAUUGACAGAAGUGACAACCAAUAAAUGCACUGAACUGCAUAUACCACCUAUGCUAUACAGCCUUUAACUAAAGUUAAUGACCAAUUACUGAUAUUCCAUAUAAGGCCUUGGUCAAAGUACCUGCUUUCCAAUCAAACAAAGAAAAGGUAAGAGAAAAAGAAAAGUUCUUCAAAGAUCAUUGAAUACAUUCUUUACAACUUCCAAUGUUUGGUGAGAAGUCUCUUAAGAAUAACCUAUAAAAAUUUGCAAUGCAUUUAAAUCAUGUUGCAUCAUUAAUGCCCAUAGAAUAGGAAGUGGAAAGGUGAUUGAUGUAAAGAUUGGAGAAACUUGCAAGCAAGAAUCACUAGUUAUAAAGUGCCAAUGGAAUAACAGCUUAAAAACAAAAAUCAUAUGCUGUAUGGCUUCAAGCCAUCUGCUUUUCGAAGUGAGGACAGCAUAAUGAAAAGAGUGCAACAUUUCAAGAACCAAUCUGUCUCCAGACACAUACAAACCGAAUAUAUCAACAAAAGGUAUGAUUACCUCAUGAUUUACAUAGUCAGACAGUAUAUGUGUUUGUAGUAACUUCCAUGGCUCUAAAUCCAAUGGAAACUGCAUCAAGAAGCACAUGAAACAAUCUUGAGCACCUUUUGUUUUCAAGAACAACAUCUAGCACUUCUUAUUACAACCAUUAUAAGAACAUAUAUCAGACAAAGAAAUCUUAGGCACAGUACCUUAACUCCUAAAUAAGCAAGUACAGAAAGGCAGACUUGAGAACCUCCAGCGGUAGCUAUUUGCUUGUAAGUAUCAGUUAUGCGCAAGAGAAUUGGCUUCUGUAAGUUAUCUAGCUGGUCAUCACUAAGACUUAUAACUGGGGCAGAAAUCUUGGGCAAAAGCAACUGUGUCGAUAACCCAGAAGAAGUUGCACUUAAGGAGUUGACACAGCUUAGGUCUGUGACUGUAGCUCUAGGGCUAAGUUCCUCAGACCUAUCAGUUGACACUGAAGGAAGUAAUUCUAGUGAUGACCUAGCUAGACUACUAACUUGUUCUUGACUUGCAUCCUUCAAUUCAGUUGAACCCAAAGAAGUAAUAACUAAUUCAUCGUUGGGAACAGGUAAAUCUAGACCAGGUAUGUCACUCUCUUCAUUCCCAACAUCAAUAACAUCAGAAGGCGUCCCUGAACCACCAUUCUCUGUGUCACAUGGGACAUGUCCACCUGAAGAAGCUGGAGUAGUUGUAGGCACCGAAGCCUCUUCCAUCACAUAGCUCAUACCAGGGACAUCAGUAUUACCCGAGGUCCCUCUUAGCUGCAGUUAAGGGGAUAUUGAUCUUAAAUAAUGAUGCCCAAUCAGAAUCAACACAAAAAGCAGUUUGUGGAGAAAUUAUAAAGAACUGAUGGUUAAAAAACAGAUUCUAGACAGAGUCAAAUGGCCAUCAUAAGAGAAGUAGGGUUGCAGAUUGAAUGAUACCAAAAAAAGAAAAGAGAAAAACAGGCUGAGGAUUCAGAAGCACCUCAAGCUCAUUUGCUGCAGAAGGUAGAGAAUCCAUCCCACCAUCUUUCUGUGAGACAGCACUAGAUUGUGAAAGAAGGUUGGUGAGAAGCAAUGUUAAAUUAUCAAACUCAGAAUUGCUUCCUGACAUGCCAGGACAAGACCCUCUGCCAAACAACUGCUCAUUAUCUCCUUCAAUUUGAGGGCGAUUUGAAGGAAAAUUUCGCAUGUUAGCAAUUACAACUUCAGCAAGCAAGUCAGCUGAUAUACUAGAGAUGAGAAUCUCUAAUGAUGCAAUAGCUUUUUCUCCUUG